rnacentral:rRNA from 1 species
UACGUAGGCAGCGAGCGUUGUUCGGAGUUACUGGGCGUAAAGCGUGCGUAGGCGGUGUCUUAAGUUUGUUGUGAAAUCUCCCGGCUUAACCGGGAGGGUGCGGCGAAUACUGAGAUGCUGGAGUGCCGGAGAGGUAAGCGGAAUUCCUGGUGUAGCGGUGAAAUGCGUAGAUAUCAGGAGGAACACCUGCGGUGUAGACGGCUUACUGGGCCGCAACUGACGCUGAGGAGCGAAAGCAUGGGGAGCGAACAGG